CAAGUCUGGAAGUGUUACAGGAUGGAAGAGUGAGCCUACAGUUGAAAAACACUGAAAGUGCAUUACCAUUAAGGUAUGAGGUAAAGUAAUAGAGUAUGCAAAUUGUCUAAUGAGUAGUACCAUCUUGUGUGAAUGAAUCCUGUGUAACAGCAAUCCUUUAUAGUUCUGUCACAGCUAGAAGCCUCAAAUAAUUCUGCUUCUCUGUCUAAAGAACAACUUGUCCUUUACGUUCAGAGUGUUGGGGAAACUGGGUACUUAAAUGGCCCUAAAGAUGUUUUAAUUUUGCUGCCAUUGCAGAGAUGAACAUCAUACAUGGACUCUUUAGGAAAGGAUUUUCAGCAUACUGGGAACACAACUAUCAACAAUGCAACAUUCUAGGGGUGCUAUUUUAUCAUUCAAGAGCCUUAUACAAUGAUUUUCAUCUGCAAUUUGGAUGGCCUUUCCCAAGCUUCUGCCAGAAGUUGAAUCUAUAAGACAUUGUAGGUUAAUAGUAACAUUGGAUCUGAAAAAAUUCUUGGUUGGGGCAAGACACUGAAUAAAUUGUAAUGAUUGGAUGGAUGACAUGAUAUUUCUAUACUUCAUUCGGAUUCCCGAGACGGUAUUUUAUAUUAAAAAAAUUGAAGUGCAUAUCUGGGCUCCCUUCCUUUCCGUAGCCCCGUUUCCCCUUGACUCGUAAUAAGCCCGU